rnacentral:rRNA from 1 species
CUCCCGCCGGCGACCGGCGCACGGGUGAGUAACACGUAUGAAACCUGCCCGUAGCAGGGGGAUAAGCGGAAGAAAUUCCGUCUAAUACCGCGUAACAACCCAUGGAGGCAUCUCUGUGGGUUUAAAGGAAGCGAUUCCGGCUACGGAUGGUCAUGCGUCGCAUUAGCUUGUUGGCGGGGUAACGGCCCACCAAGGCGACGAUGCGUAGGGGUUCUGAGAGGAAGGCCCCCCACACUGGGACUGAGACACGGCCCAGACUCCUACGGAAGGCAGCAG